rnacentral:piRNA from 1 species
CAAGAUACCAGAACUACUAAAGUGAAACU